CCUACGGGUGGCAGCAGUGGGGAAUAUUGCACAAUGGGGGAAACCCUGAUGCAGCAACGCCGCGUGAGUGAUGAAGGCCUUCGGGAUGUAAAGCUCAGUCAGCAGGGAAGAUAAUGACGGUACCUGAGGAGGAAGCCACGGCUAACUACGUGCCAGCAGCCGCGGUAAUACGUAGGGGGCGAGCGUUGGCCGGAUUUACUGGGCGUAAAGGGAGCGUAGGCGGACGGUUAAGUCAGAAGUGAAAUCCUCGGGCUUCACUUGAGUGCUGCAUUUCAAACUGUAAGUCUAGAGUGCAGGAGAGGAGAAUGGAAUUCCUAGUGUAGCGGUGAAAUGCGUAGAUAUUAGGAGGAACACCAGUGGCGAAGGCGAUUCUCUGGACUGUAACUGACGCUGAGGCUCGAAAGCGUGGGGAGCAAACAGGAUUAGAUACCCUUGUAGUC
rnacentral:rRNA from 1 species